AAUUUUUAAUUUUUUAGCAGUUGAUGGCAGUAUUGUUGCAAAGAAAAGACGCAUUAGAAUGGGCUCAUACAGGAAAAGACGCUGUCAAGUCAAUCUGGUUCUUGCUUGUUCUAAAAAAUAUUAUACUUUGGUAGGUUUUCUACUCCUCUCUUUCCCGUUGUUCAUUGUAGUACUCAAUAUGAAAAUGAAGUACUCAAAGAAUAUACUUCUCUUAUGGUUCAACUUAUAAUCUCUUGCACCAUUUAUGUUCUUCGAUCUGACCAUUUAUUUUUUUAUUUUCUUCUUUUCUUAGGUUUGUAACCUUACUUAAUGCAAUCAUUUACCGUGGUGAUAGAGAGGUCACGAAAGAAAUUAAAAGCACAUGCCAGAAACAAUAGAGCCCAGGCACUGUUACUUUCUACUCAGUUCUGGAAACUGCACCUUUGUUGUGUCUUAUGUAUAGUUGUCUUUGAUCUCUGUGUGCCUUUGAUUAUGUAAAUUUAUCUUCGAGAUAUUUGGUUAUCUUUAACGUUGAUGUUACCAAUGAUUUUAAUUCUUUACGCACUUUCACCAACAAAUGUACAAGAACUUUCAUGCUUCUAACUUGUAACUUUGUUUUGUUUUGUAGCACUACUUUUGCACAAAAACUCUUCAAUGAAGUUUAAAUUUAGCAGGAGUGUAUUGUUGGCUUCAUGAUACUUUUCUACCUGUAACUUAAAUGUUAUAGUGUAUCGAAUUCAGCUUUUAAGAUGUAUAAAUCAUCUUUUACUUACUCAUUAGAAUAAUAUUUUCUAACUUGUCUUCAUCUUUAAAUUAAAAGGCAUGCGGAAAUUUGAUUUGA
rnacentral:lncRNA from 1 species